AUGGCUGGGACUGAAGCGUCAAUAAAUGGUUUUCAUGACUUCCCCAAGAACUCAUUCCAGAGUUGGGGCAACUAUUUCCAAGCACUAAUGGAAAUACCACACCGGUUGUUGGACCGGAUUAUGAGCCGAUCACUUGACCAAACGGAGCUGGUGAAAGUGAAGGCUGAGAGCCAGCAUGAGAUGAAGAAGACACUGACUUGGUGGGAUCUCAUUUGGUUUGGCAUGGGCGCUGUUAUUGGUUCUGGUAUCUUGGUGCUCACUGGUCUUGAGACCCAGUCACAUGCUGGUCCUGCUGUUGUGUUAUCUUAUGUUAUUUCUGGAAUUUCUGCCUUGCUUUCUGUUUUCGGUUACACUGAGUUUGCCGUGGAGAUCCCUGUAGCAGGUAAAAGCUUUUUGAUCCUACAAUUUUUUCCCCCAUUAAAAAUGAUAAAAAAUCUAGUUUUUAUGUCCAUCGUAUGAUCAAGUGGUUUGUAUACUACUGAUCACUUCAUCUUCACUAUCAAGGCUGGCCCUUCCACUAGGCCAAUUAGGCCAUUGCCUAAGGUCCCCAAGUGGAAGGGGCUCAAAAUUUUGAAAAAGAAGGGAUAGUAGAAAUUAAAAUUGAAAGUUUUCAGUUCUUAUUGGGUAUGACUAUUUGGUAUAAUAUAUUAUUUGCUGUCAACUUUAUUAGUAAAUGUGGGGCUAAAAAGUCAGGCAGCCUCGGCCCACUUCAAACCAGGCCCAGAGGCCCAUGCCGAGGAUGCAUGUGGGGUUCGAGGAUAAAAGUACGAUGUCUAGCCCCCAAGGAACAGGUUCGAGGACGACCCCGUCCUCGGACAUUCGAGACCUCAGAAAUACACGAGCACCCUACUACCAAAGAGGGGUCUUUUUAAAUAUCCGAGAAGGAAAGGGCAAGCGCCACGCGUCGACAACGGGAGCACGGUGAAGGAGCAAGUCUAAGGCGAGCUGUCACCUUCACAUUAAAUGCCCUCAACUAACGUCCUGGCCGCAUUAAUGAGGAGGAGAUUACAGAACAGUGUUGCCUUGGUUGCCGCAACCCACAGGAAGAACGGGAAGGUGGCUGAUGGGACAGGUACUCAAGUGGUGGUCUGGUUGCUCAACAAAUGUAGAGCUGUGAUCAAUGGGGAAAGGAGUAUAUAAUGUAAGGGAUCCCUCUUAAGGAGGGGGUUUUUUUUUGGAAAAAGGGAAAAAGGGAGGAAGUCAUAAGAACAGCAAGCUCGCCGGAGAAAGGUCGAGGAGCAUCAUUGUUCACGUUCAUCUGAGAACUACCACGCGUGGUCGUUGCACCCCUUACUAGGACCUAGUUCUUGACCCUGCUCUCUACAAAUCAAUUGCAGGGCCAGCUGGGCUUGAGUCCAUUCCCGUAAUACACUGGGAGGCCUGAACCUGGUCCCUACAGUAAAAAUUUACAAUUAAUUAAAAGGUCUCAUUUCUUAUUUUAAAGGAUAUAGAGAGAAUGGAUUUACAUUUGCUAUGAAUUCAUCUAAAAAAAUUGCAAAUGGAAAUAGAACCUAUAUUUUAUGAGGAACAUAUAAUUCAUAGAAAGAAACAAUUUAAUGAAAUGUUCAUAAUGAGACAGCAUGAUCUGCUAAAGAAUCUUUUAGAAUUGAUUAUUACUUAUAUAUAAAUAAUAGAUAAAGCAACUAGUUCAAUUGAGAAUAGAUUUGAACAAUUUCAAAUAUAUGAAGAUAUUUUUGAUUUUCUAUUUAACUUCCUGAAAUUGAAAUCACUAGAUGAUGAUAGUUUGCAAAAAUAUUGUCUUAAAACAAACAUGAUAUUUAUUAUGAUAUUAAUGGUUUAGAUUUAUUUUCAGAGUUAAAAGUCUUAAAAGAAAUUUUGCAAAUAAAAGAAUAUACUCCAAUUUACAUACUAAAUUAUAUAAAAAAGGUUAGAUUCAUUUUUAAAUACAUGCAUUGCUUAUAGAAUUUUACUAACAAUACCUAUUUAUGUUACUUCUGCAGAAAUAAGUUUUUCAAAAUUAAAAUUAAUAAAAUCAUAUCUAAGAUUGAAAAUGUUCCAAGAAAGAUUAAGUAGAUUAACUAUAUUAUCGAUUGAAAAUGAGAUGUUAGAGAAGAACUUAAAUACAAGAAUUUAAUUAGUCAAUUUGUAUCUCAAAAGGCAAGAAAAAUAGAUUUUAAAUAAAAAAAUUAUAAUAAAAAAUUAAUUUAAUCAAUACAUAAAUAUGAAAAAAAAAGUCACAUUUUAGUUCUUGUCUAAGGGCCCAAAAUGUCUAGGGCUGACCUGUUCACUAUUUAUAUCAAAUUACAUGGUUAUAUCUAUAUUCAGAUUUUCAUAAUCAACGGUAAACAAUAAAGUCUAUAAAAUUCAUGAAAAUAGCAAUUGUAAAAAAUAUACCAUUGUCCAACAUCUCUUAAUGAGAUUUAAAUUUGGUACUCGGGUGAAAUUAGAUCUUUAAGAAUAAGAGGGUCAAAGUAAUAAAAUAAAAAUUAAUCCAAUUUAAGAAGGUUACAUUGGAAAUAUGAAUAAUUGGGGGAGGGGUAUCUAUAUAUUAUUUUAAGAUUUUAACUUACCACCUAUGAGUAGUUCUUUCCUACAAUUUAACUUAUUUGUUUAGGUACAAUUUAACUUAUUGGUAUAAAUAAAUCCCAUUCUUCACGAACAACUAAUUAUUUAACUCAAAAAAAAAAAAAAAAAAUACAACUGUACAUUUAUCCACUCUUAACAAGUAAGCAAAUCAACAAAUUAAUAAAAACAUCCAUAUGCAUAUCAUAAGACCAAGGUGAAGGAUUGUGUGACUUACCAAAAGAGUAAUAAACAAAGAAAUAGUAAUUUUAUGGUCCUAAAGGAUUCCAAAUAGCAUUAAAUAACAAUAUAAUUAAUAUCCAAAACCUUAAUUAGCAGGAAAAUGCAACAAUGGAGUUCAAUUUCCAUGCGACACAAUAAUGCUCGAAUAUUAUUAGGUAUGUUUAGAAUAGUGACAUGGUACGUACGUACGCCACACCAAAAACUAUUAGCCACUUGAUAUGAAAAUGUAACCUAAGCUCAAAAGGUUUUAAAAAUAAUUCUUGUAUUACAUAGGUGGUAAUUGACACAAAACGCUACUAUAUUGUAGGAGGUUCAUUUGCCUACCUAAGGGUAGAGCUUGGAGAUUUUGUGGCCUUCAUUGCAGCCGGCAACAUUAUCAUCGAAUAUGUGAUCGGUGAAGCUGCUGUUGCACGUUCAUGGACAUCAUAUUUUGCCACUCUCUGCAACCACCAACCUGACGAUUUCCGCAUCGUAGUCCAUUCGCUCCCAAGCGACUACCAAUCACUAGACCCCAUUGCUGUUGUUGUCAUUUUCAUCAUCUGUAUCCUCGCCGUCACAAGUACCAAAGCCUCAUCACGUUUCAUUUAUGUCGCCUCAAUUGUUCAUCUCAUUGUCAUCAUCUUUAUCAUCAUUGCCGGUCUUACAAAAGCCAAUCCCAAAAACUACACCCCAUUUGCUCCUUUUGGUGCUCGAGGCAUGUUCCAAGCUUCAGCUGUACUAUUCUUCGCCUAUGUUGGAUUUGAUGCUGUUUCAACUAUGGCUGAGGAAACUAAAAAUCCAGCUAGAGACAUCCCGAUUGGACUUGUUGGCUCAAUGGUUAUAACCACAUUGGCCGCCUAUUGUUUACUAGCUAUGACGCUAUGCCUUAUGCAACAGUACGCUAAUGUUGAUAAAGAUGCUCCAUACUCGGUAGCAUUUCAAGCCGUAGGUAUGGGUUGUGCUAAGUAUAUAGUCGCACUUUGAGCAUUAAAAGGCAUGACUUCAGUUCUGCUUGUUGGAGCUGUUGGUCAAGCUCGGUAUCUUAAACAUAUUGCACGUACACACAUGAUGCCUCAUUGUUUAGCUAAUGUCCAUGAAAGGACUAAAACACCCAUUAAUGCCACGGCUAUCAUGCUUGUAGCAACCGCAAUCAUUGCCUUUUUCACACCGCUUACCAUUCUUGCAAACCUUCUCUCAGUGUCUACACUGUUCAUUUUUAUGCUUGUAGCUGUUGCGCUUAUUGUAAGGCGCUACUAUGUUAGUGGGGUGACAACACAAGUGAAUCGUAUUAAGCUCAUUGUGUGUCUUGUUCUUAUACUAGGGUCUUCAUUUGGGACUGCUGUUUAUUGGGCCCAAAGUGAUGGUUGGAUUGGGUACACAAUAACUGUGCCAAUUUGGUUUGUUGAACAAUGGGGCUUCGGCUUUUUGUUCCACAUGCAAGAAAUCCAAGACUUUGGGGUGUACCAUUGGUUCCAUGGCUCCCUUCAGCAUCCAUUGCUAUUAAUUUUUUUCUACUUGGGUCUAUAGAUAAAGCAUCGUACCUAAGGUUUGGCAUAUGGACUGGAAUUCUAUGGUUUUCUAUUUAUUUUUCGGAUUACACUUGUCCUAUGACGAUGCAAAGGCAAAGGCAAAGGCAAAGGCAUCUAGGGAUAGGAGGAUGGAUGAGCAGUUGAAGGUGCUGGAGGAGGUUCCGGCUCAAGAGUUUGUGAACGUUGGCAAUGCUUCUACACUUGGCGCCACUUAG
rnacentral:sRNA from 1 species